ACGGGUGAGUAACGCGUGGGAACCUACCCAGAACUUCGGAAUAACACAUGGAAACGUGUGCUAAUACCGGAUACGCCCUACGGGGGAAAGAUUUAUCGGUUUUGGAUGGGCCCGCGUAAGAUUAGCUAGUUGGUGAGGUAAUGGCUCACCAAGGCGACGAUCUUUAGCUGGUCUGAGAGGAUGAUCAGCCACACUGGGACUGAGACGCGGCCCAGACUCCUACGGGAGGCAGCAGUGGGGAAUAUUGGACAAUGGGCGCAAGCCUGAUCCAGCCAUGCCGCGUGAGUGAUGAAGGCCUUAGGGUUGUAAAGCUCUUUCAGUAGGGAAGAUAAUGACGGUACCUACAGAAGAAGCCCCGGCUAACUUCGUGCCAGCAGCCGCGGUAAUACGAAGGGGGCUAGCGUUGUUCGGAUUUACUGGGCGUAAAGCGCACGUAGGCGGAUCGUUAAGUUAGGGGUGAAAUCCUGGAGCUCAACUCCAGAACUGCCUCUAAUACUGGCGAUCUAGAGUCCGGAAGAGGUGAGUGGAACUCCUAGUGUAGAGGUGGAAUUCGUAGA
rnacentral:rRNA from 1 species